rnacentral:rRNA from 1 species
UACGGAGGAUGCAAGCGUUAUCCGGAAUUAUUGGGUGUAAAGCGUGCGCAGGCGGCCUGGUAAGUCAGCUGUGAAAGUAUACGGCUCAACCGUGAAAUUGCAGUUGAUACUGUUAGGCUUGAGUAUAGAAGAGGUGGGCGGAAUUUGUAGUGUAGCGGUGAAAUGCGUAGAUAUCACGAAGAACUCCAAUGGCGAAGGCAGCCCACUGGGGCAUUACUGACGCUGAUGCACGAAAGUGUGGGGAGCAAACAGG